rnacentral:lncRNA from 1 species
CCUCGAUGACUGGAGAUCUGCAGAGCCGCUCCUGGGAGCGAUCUUGGGUGUGUGGCACCCCGAAGCAGCCAUCUCCCGCUGGUCCUGGGUCCCAGCCAUCUUCCCAUGACAGCCCCGUCAUCCCCGUGGUGGAUUUCGGGCAUGGAAGCUGUUCCCACAAUUAAGGAGGGUCCUCCAGCGAGCCGUCUCCGCUCUUCUGCACUGACAGCAGACUCCAGGUUAUCCCACUUAGCAGAGGAGCUGUGCUCCCGGGAGCCUUGGGGGCCCUGGCCUCUUAAUGAACUCGUCUCUGGUCUCCUGCUGCCAGGCGCCCUCCUUCCUGUCAGCGGGCUGCUGGAUAGCAGGCUGUGUGAUUUGGAGCCACUGUGCCAGUCCCCAUUCACCCGCCCCUGGACUGCACCGUGUUGAUUUGGAAUGGGGCUGAACAGUGAGCCGGCCGGCAACCACGUGGAUGGCGGAAGGGUACCGACUGUUCCUGCACCUCAGUUUUCUUGCCUUAAUUUCAGGGCACCUUGGAAAGAAAAACAUAGUCUUUCCCCAGGAUAUCAUUCACUUGUCUGCAAAAGAC